rnacentral:rRNA from 1 species
CCUGACUGCUAUCGGAUUGAUACUAAGCCAUGCGAGUCAUUGCAGUAAUGCAAGGCAGACGGCUCAGUAAUGCGUAGUCAACCUACCCUAUGGACGGGAAUAACCUCGGGAAACUGAGUAUAAUGCCCGAUAGAACACUAUACCUGGAAUGGUUUGUGUUCCAAAUGAAUGUCGCCGUAGGAUGGGACUGCGGCCUAUCAGUUUGUUGGUGAGGUAAUGGCCCACCAAGACUAUUACAGGUACGGGCUCUGAGAGGAGUAGCCCGGAGAUGGGUACUGAGACACAGACCCAGGCCCUAUGGGGCGCAGCAGGCGAGAAAACUUUGCAAUGUGCGAAAGCACGACAAGGUUAAUCCGAGUGGUUUGUGCUAAACGAACCUUUUGACAGUCCUAGAAACACUGUUGAAUAAGGGGUGGGCAAGUUCUGGUGUCAGCCGCCGCGGUAAAACCAGCACCUCAAGUGGUCAGGAUGAUUAUUGGGCCUAAAGCAUCCGUAGCCGGCUCUGUAAGUUUUCGGUUAAAUCUGUACGCUCAACGUACAGGCUGCCGGGAAUACUGCAGAGCUAGGGAGUGGGAGAGGUAGACGGUACUCGGUAGGAAGGGGUAAAAUCCUUUGAUCUAUUGAUGACCACCUGUGGCGAAAGCGGUCUACCAGAACACGUCCGACGGUGAGGGAUGAAAGCUGGGGGAGCAAACCGGAUUAGAUACCCGGGUAGUCCCAGCUGUAACUAUGCAAACUCAGUGAUGCAU